CCGAAAGGCGUAGUCGAUGGGAAAUUGGUUAAUAUUCCAAUACUUCUGUGUAAUGCGAUGAGAGGACGGAGAAAGUUAAGUCAGCCUGGCGUUGGUUGUCCAGGUGAAAGGUUGUAGGCAUGCAUCUUAGGCAAAUCCGGGGUGCUCUAUGCUGAGAACUGAUAGCAAGCGAGUUUACUCGUGAAGUGGCUGAUACUAUGCUUCCAGGAAAAGUCUCUAAGCUUCAGUUACACAGGAAUCGUACCCCAAACCGACACAGG
rnacentral:rRNA from 1 species